rnacentral:rRNA from 1 species
UUUGUAUUCAGUUUAUAUACCGUUGUUAUUAAAUAUUUUAUAAGGAUUUAAAUAUUUAAGGGUUUUUAAGAAAAAAUAUAUCAGAUCAAGGUGUAACUUAUGUUUAAGAAGAAAUGGGUUACAAUAAAUUUAUUUAUGUUGGAUUUAAAAUUGAAAAAUUUUAUUGAAAUUGGAUUUAAUUGUAAAAU